CAAUAGCGUGUAUUAAAGUUGUUGCAGUUAAAAAGCUCGUAGUUGGAUUUCUGGUAGGAGCGACCGUGCCGAACUUGAUUGUUCGAGUAUUGUGUUGUCUUCAGCCAUCCUCGUGGAGAACUUUUCUAACAUUAACUUGUUGGGAUUGGGACCCGCGUCGUUUACUGUGAAAAAAUUAGAGUGUUUAAAGCAGGCAUUAGCUUGAAUACAUUAGCAUGGAAUAAUAAGAUAGGACUUUGGUACUAUUUUGUUGGUUUGCAUACCAAAUUAAUGAUCAACAGGAACAGUUUGAGGAUAUUCGUAUGAACAUGUCAGAGGUGAAAUUCUUGGAUUUUGAUCAGACGAACUACUGCGAAAGCAUUUAUCAAGGAUGUUUUCAUUAA
rnacentral:rRNA from 1 species